GCGUAUUCGGCACCUGUAUUGGAUAACAAUAACGGCGUGACUGAAUAAUUUAGAGAAGUGAACUUAUAUGGGGCAAUUGCUGGCAGACGUCAAUAGUACUUAGACAUACUUAGAACACUGCUACACGUCAUUCCAAGUAUUACGAUGUUCAUUACCGUAGUCAUUCUUCUGCAGAUCACGGCUAAUUGCAACGCGGAUGUUGGUGCCGGAUGGCAAAUCACUCAUGAAUUGGUAACGCUGGCAUUAAAAAAAAAGUUGGGAUUCGAAACGACAGUGAUGGGUGCCACAGAAAAACAUGUAAAAUUUCUCUACUGGAAUUCUUGUCAAAAUGCUAAUUGGAAAAUCAUUAUUUCGAUGCGUGUUACAGCAUAAAUUUGAGCUGUGUCAUUGGAAAAUUAUAUUAAAUUGCGGAAAUAAUAAUCCAGCGGAGUUAAAAUUAAAUCAGGAAGAAGAAUUGUUUAAGUAUUGGAUUGAGGGGUUGUCUCUCAAAAUCAUCGUUCACGGUUGGCUCGAUUCGACCGAGUACGAAGACGACGGCGUUACCUGCGUUAAAAAAGGUUAAACAAAAUAAUAUAUUAUAUUGUUUCGUUUUUUUAUACUUGUAAUACUUUAUUAAUUGAAAACCGUAACGCUUAGUUUGUCGAAAAUGUGUACUUGGUCAAAAACACAUAGGGGAACGUAUACAGCUAUUAUUUUCAAUGACCAAUGUUCUAUUGUACACUAGCGGGGUUAUAUUUUCUCCAACAUUUUACAACUAUUAUUGGUGUGUUUAUAAAGCACACGUGGAUGUUGGAGGAUUUAACGUGAUAACGGCCGACUGGGUAGAAUUGGCCAAUAGCCAAACUUACCCGAUGGCUGCCCUUUUUACCAAAGAAGUUGGCGCUAUCAUAGCUCGGCUGUUACACAACAUAAUGCAGUUGGAAAUAAUCCAGCCUAAAGGACAUUCAUAUAAUAGGACAUAGUCUGGGCGCCCACACCGCAGGAGUUAUCGGUUCACAUUUCACUGGGUCAGACCAAAUCGGCAGGAUAACAGGUGAUAUACAUGCGGACUGUGCCGUGUAAAAAAACAUUAAAGUGUUGUAUUAUAUUAUAAUAUGAUUCAAUAUAUACCGUGAAUCGGUUUUUUGUGCAGCCCUAGAUCCGGCGUGUCCCGAAUUUGAAAUUUUCAAAAUAAAUACCCAACGUCUUAG